AGUGAACGCUGGCGGUAGGCCUAACACAUGCCAGUCGAACGGCAGCACAGUAAGAGCUUGCUCUUACGGGUGGCGAGUGGCGGACGGGUGAGGAAUACAUCGGAAUCUACUUUUUCGUGGGGGAUAACGUAGGGAAACUUACGCUAAUACCGCAUACGACCUACGGGUGAAAGCAGGGGAUCUUCGGACCUUGCGCGAUUGAAUGAGCCGAUGUCGGAUUAGCUAGUUGGCGGGGUAAAGGCCCACCAAGGCGACGCUCCGUAGCUGGUCUGAGAGGAUGAUCAGCCACACUGGAACUGAGACACGGUCCAGACUCCUACGGGAGGCAGCAGUGGGGAAUAUUGGACAAUGGGCGCAAGCCUGAUCCAGCCAUACCGCGUGGGUGAAGAAGGCCUUCGGGUUGUAAAGCCCUUUUGUUGGGAAAGAAAAGCAGCAGGUUAAUACCCCGCUGUUCUGACGGUACCCAAAGAAUAAGCACCGGCUAACUUCGUG
rnacentral:rRNA from 1 species